rnacentral:rRNA from 1 species
GAUGAACGCUGGCGGCGUGCCUAAUACAUGCAAGUCGAGCGAACAGACGAGGAGCUUGCUCCUCUGACGUUAGCGGCGGACGGGUGAGUAACACGUGGAUAACCUACCUAUAAGACUGGGAUAACUUCGGGAAACCGGAGCUAAUACCGGAUAAUAUAUUGAACCGCAUGGUUCAUUAGUGAAAGACGGUUUUGCUGUCACUUAUAGAUGGAUCCGCGCCGCAUUAGCUAGUUGGUAAGGUAACGGCUUACCAAGGCGACGAUGCGUAGCCGACCUGAGAGGGUGAUCGGCCACACUGGAACUGAGACACGGUCCAGACUCCUACGGGAGGCAGCAGUAGGGAAUCGUCCGCAAUGGGCGAAAGCCUGACGGAGCAACGCCGCGUGAGUGAUGAAGGUCUUCGGAUCGUAAAACUCGGUUAUUAGGGAAGAACAAAUGUGUAAGUAACUAUGCACGUCUUGACGGUACCUAAUCAGAAAGCCACGGCUAACUACGUG